GACAGAGGAUGCAAGCGUUAUCCGGAAUGAUUGGGCGUAAAGCGUCCGCAGGUGGCAGUUCAAGUCUGCUGUCAAAGACCGGGGCUUAACUUCGGAAAGGCAGUGGAAACUGAACAGCUAGAGUAUGGUAGGGGCAGAGGGAAUUCCUGGUGUAGCGGUGAAAUGCGCAGAGUAUCAAGGAGGAACACCGGUGGCGAAGGCGGGACUCUGGGCCGAUACUGACGCUGAGGAGCGAAAGCGUGGGGAGCAA
rnacentral:rRNA from 1 species